rnacentral:lncRNA from 1 species
AACUAGGCCAGCAUGGCCAUAACGUAGUUGUAAACCCCACACACUAGUCUGCAAGCCUCUAAGAGUAGUAAAGAUUGGUGGGACAGGGCCCCAGCCUACCCAUGAGAAUAUAUACAACAAAAGGUAACAAACCUCCCAACUCUGGCAGCUCCGGAGGAAAGGGGCUGACCAAUCGGAUAAAAGUCAAUCCUGCUGAUAUGGAGGUCUACUCGGUCAUCUGUCAGGACCUGCAUGCAUGAAUGCAGCGCCCCCAAGGCAAUGGGGCGUCAGUACAAAAUAAUGAACGGAGUAUGAAAGGCA